GACGAGCCUCACAAACGUUAUUCGGAAUUACUGGGCUUAAAGGGUGCGUAGGCGGCCCUGUAAGUCAGUUGUGAAAUACGGCAGCUUAACUGUCGAGGUGCAAUUGAUACUGCAGGGCUUGAGUACUGAUGAGGUAGGCGGAAUGGACGGUGUAGCGGUGAAAUGCUUAGAGAUCGUCCAGAACACCGAUAGCGAAGGCAGCUUACUAAGGAGUAACUGACGCUGAGGCACGAAAGUGUGGGGAUCAAACAGG
rnacentral:rRNA from 1 species